rnacentral:lncRNA from 1 species
CACAAAUGCAAGACCAACAAAUUGCAUCAGAGACAGAUGAUGUGGUCUCUGGCACAUGCCUAAACCAGUCUGUGUACAGGACUACACCAGCCUGGAGUUUAGGGAGAACAUGAGUCGAACUCGGGACCUAGCAGUUGCAAGGCAGGUACCUGAACCACUGAGCUAAAUCCUGGGUCCUUUCAUGGAUUUUCUUAAAUCAGGUAUUAUUCUCUUCCAAUUAUUCUAGGAAGAUACACCGAAGACACUGAGGUUACCUUCAAAAGAGCAGAUGGAUUAAUUCAGAGAAGGGAGAAUAAUGAUUGUGGUGAUGGAGGAGUUUUGGAGCUCAGGAGAAAGAACAACAGUGGAACUCUGCCAAGGAAGGAGGACAGAAAUUGGAGGAGAGAUUUCUUUCAUUAAGAUCCAUCAUCUUUGACCCAAAAUCAGUGUCCUGACAUAACAAAAGAUAGUAGUAUAUUUUUUCUGCCACUGCAAGUAGCUUUUACUCACUUCCUUCUAGAUUUAUAAGCAGUUAGAAGUUUUGAAAAUUUUUCAUUUGGGGAGUGAAAUGGAAACUUGUCUGAACUUGCUGAUACCUGCAAAUCCCAUAAGAUUUACUUAGACAAAAUAAUAGAUCUGUAUUUCAUAGCCUUAUGUCCAAGGCUUCAUGUCCACAAAAACCCUUAUGCAAUAAACAUGUGUAGAAAUGGA